CAGCAGAGCUGUAGAGGUGACCUGCUGUUUCACAUAAGUGAGACCGGGCAGACCAGAAGAGCCACCCAGCUUAACCACAGACUUUCCAGACAGAGCUGGGACACCAUGCCGCCCUUGCAGCAGCCUGUGAGAGGGAUGCUUUAGUGAGAUGGAGAUAUUUUCAUGGAGCAGGUGUCCAGGACACCCACGGGAAAGCUAGUCAAGCUGCUGGGAGAGACACGCGUGAGGAGUAAAUGUGGAAGAAUGUCCUACCAGUCUGCACGAGGGCCACAGAGACCACAAGACUUUGAAUGGAUCCUGGCAAAUGAAUGGAGCCAAGGCAGACGAGUGCAGCACGCCCACGUGGACAGCUCUGAAGUGCCCCACUGGACUCUGCUGAUGGAGCUCUGCUUGGAUUCAGGAUUCUGCCAGUCAGAGAAAGGCCACCCACACCCAGCAAAUGACUGUCACAAAGGCCAUUAGAUGGAAAUCUAAGGAUUGAUAACUGGAACCACCGCUGGAG